rnacentral:lncRNA from 1 species
UCUAGACAAACCCAUUCAUUUGCAAAGGGGUAAACUGAGGCUGAGGAGAAAAAAGUCACUUGCUCCACAUCCCAAGGCCUGAGGGUCUUCUCCCUGCUCUGAUGGGAGAGGGACCCCCUUUGUGCUGUUGUGUGUAUAAUGGUGAUGUGUGGCUGGAGGGUGAAGGGGCUUCUUCUGCCCUUUGACUCAUUGCCUGGGAAAAUAGGGACAAAAGGCGCAAAUUUUUUCAAAAUGCAAACAACUAAAGACAACGUCAUUCAGUAGAGACAAAGUGGGUGCUCGGGUUGACAGAGAAACAGAAAAGCUUCCCUGAGGUUGAGGAGGGAAGAGGGGGCUUGAAGGUGGGUGAGCCCCAAAUGUGACCUUCAACUCCUGGGAAGCUGUAGGCAAGGACAUAGCCAAGGCAAAACCAUCAAGAAUGUAAUUCACCAACAGAAACAUUCACUGACCACCCUCGGGGCCUGAAGGUCUUUCCAAAGCUUGCUGCUGAGCACCUGAUGAACUUCAAACAAUAGCGAAGCCAGGAGCCAGGCGCUGAUGACCCCCAGGAGGAAGACAAUCCACUGUGCUGUCACUCAGAGAGCGAAACCAGCCUGACUUUGCACCUGUGUCUCCAAGGGAUAAAGGUCAAUGCCACAGCAGACUCCACUCCAAUGCUGUCUUCAAGCCAAAACCUUAAUAUUCAAUGAGAAAUCUGCAUUGAUGAAAUUUUCAUUAAACAAACUUUAUCCCUCUCACUCCUCUUGUUAUUCGUGG